CUUAUUUGAAAAUACAUCAUUGGUUAAUAUUCCCUUUUGCUCAUUGAAAUCUCAAAGACUACAGGUGUGGUGCAAUUCCAUUAGAUGAAAGAGAUCUACACAUUCAGAAGCACAUGAUUCUUCCCCCUUCCAUGAUUCCAGUGGCCAAUAGAAUGGAGUGUAGUGGCGUGAUCUUGGCUCACAACAACUUCUGCUUCCCACAUUCAAGCGAUCCUCCCACCUUAUACUCCUGAGUAGCUGGAACCACAGACAAACUACAAUAAAGCCAUGCCCUGACUGGAUGUGCCUAACAUUUGUCUGGUGCUUAAAGGAGUUGGCUGCAUGCGUGGGAUGGAGAAGGAUUCAACAUUUAAUGGCAGUUAGAAUCAAAUUUUUAACUCAAGAAGGCAGAAGGAAUCCACCUAAAUAAAUGUUGGAAAGUCACCAAAAAUAGUUCUCCAAGUCAGAAGCGGUGCAAAAGCUGCCUCAGCUCUUGGUGGAUUUUCAAUUUCUCCCAGCCAUCUCUGUUUCGCUAAAGGUUUCUGAAGACAGUGGGUAUGUGGCAAACUUCUGCAAUUCUAUAUUAAGAUAAACUGUUAGAUCAA
rnacentral:lncRNA from 10 species